CAGGGAGACAACACAAUGAUUUUGAUGCGUGAGUGCUUUUAUUCUUAGGCCGAAAUCCUGUCACCUUAGGUCGAUCGGUACCUCAGCUUUGAAGUUAAGAAUCAGCAGCAAUGUUGAUUGCUUGAUGGAGAUUUUCAGUUCCUAAACUUUGUCUAGGUCACACCCCAAAAGGGAUGAGACUCCUGGGCCAUUAGCUCAGGUGGUUAGAGCGCACCCCUGAUAAGGGUGAGGUCCCUGGUUCAAGUCCAGGAUGGCCCAUUCGGUGUUGGGGGUUUAGCUCAGUUGGUAGAGCGCCUGCUUUGCAAGCAGGAUGUCAGGAGUUCGAGUCUCCUAACCUCCACUGACCGAACUUGAUUCCCAUCUCCAAUUUUUUUGGAGUUGAGCUCGAUUGGAGUGUGAUUUAGAUGUGUCCGCUGGAUGACCCCAGCUUCCUGUCAUUCCAAGUUUUAGGUUGAUGCCUUGAAUUUGGUUGAUAAGAUGCUGGGCUCGGAUCAAAUGAUCAAGCAAUUGAUGAUUUGAUUUGAAGUUCUAGCAGAACCUUGACAACUGCAUAGGUGAGUCUGGAAAAACAAAGCAUCUUACAGAUGCAUUGUUUUGAAUCUGAUCUUCUGAAAGGGAGAUUGGAUCUAGAACAAUGAAAAUUCUUUUGAGCAAGAGCCGAGACUCUUGAACGUUCUUUGAUUGGUGUCGAGCCAAUCAGAGUUUGAUCUUGUUUUUAGCAAUAAAAACUUGAGAAUCUGCUUUCAACGGCGGUAAGCGUUCAGGAGGUUAAUU
rnacentral:tRNA from 1 species